CGGAAACGAUUCGUUUCCUCUAUGUAUUAAUCGGAUUUUUGAACUUGAGUAUGGUGCUGGAGCUUGCUCCACCCUGCUCACGGGUUGUCCUGGUAUUGCAGUACCUCCAGGUUCGGCUC
rnacentral:snRNA from 1 species